GUGGCACAGUGGUUAAGCUCUCGGCUGCUAACCGAAAGGUUGGUAGUUCAAACCUACCC
rnacentral:tRNA from 1 species